CGCUGGGAUCCCUUCGGGGUGAACUUGGUGCUGACGAGUGGCGAACGGGUGAGUAAUACUUGGGAAUCUGCCCUGUAGUGGGGGACAACUCGAGGAAACUCGGGCUAAUACCGCAUACGCCCUUCGGGGGAAAGCGGGGGAUCUUCGGACCUCGCGCUAUUGGAUGAGCCCAAGUCGAUUAGCUUGUUGGUAGGGUAAGAGCCUACCAAGGCGACGAUCCGUAGCUGGUCUGAGAGGACGAUCAGCCACACUGGGACUGAGACACGGCCCAGACUCCUACGGGAGGCAGCAGUGGGGAAUAUUGGACAAUGGGGGCAACCCUGAUCCAGCAAUGCCGCGUGUGUGAAGAAGGCCUGCGGGUUGUAAAGCACUUUCAGUAGAGAAGAAAAUCUUAGCGUUAAUACCGUUAAGUCUUGACGUAACCUACAGAAGAAGCACCGGCUAACUCCGUGCCGCAGCCGCGGUAAUACGGAGGGUGCAAACGUUAAUCGGAAUUACUGGGCGUAAAGCGCGCGUAGGCGGUUUUGUAAGUCGGAUGUGAAAGCCCUGGGCUCAACCUGGGAAUUGCAUUCGAUACUGCUUGACUAGAGUAUGGUAGAGGGAAGUGGAAUUUCCGGUGUAGCGGUGAAAUGCGUAGAUAUCGGAAGGAACACCAGUGGCGAAGGCGACUUCCUGGGCCAAUACUGACGCUGAGGUGCGAAAGCGGGGGAGCAAACAGGAUUAGAUACCCUGGUAGUCCACGCCGUAAACGAUGAGAACUAGCCGUUUGUGUCCUUGAGACGUGAGUGGCGCAGCUAACGCACUAAGUUGACCGCCUGGGGAGUACGGCCGCAAGGUUAAAACUCAAAUGAAUUGACGGGGGCCCGCACAAGCGGUGGAGCAUGUGGUUUAAUUCGAUACAACGCGAAGAACCUUACCAUCCCUUGACAUCCAGAGAAGAGACUAGAGAUAGACUUGUGCCUUCGGGAACUUGUGACAGGUGCUGCAUUGCUGUCGUCAGCUCGGGUUGUGAAAUGUUGGGUUAAGUCCCGCAACGAGCGCAACCCCUAUCCUUAUUUGCCAGCGCGUUAUGGCGGGAACUCUAAGGAGACUGCCGGUGAUAAACCGGAGGAAGGUGGGGACGACGUCAAGUCAUCAUGGCCCUUACGGGAUGGGCUACACACGUGCUACAAUGGCAGGUACAGAGGGCAGCAAUACCGCGAGGGGGAGCGAAUCCCACAAAGCUUGUGUAGUCCGGAUUGGAGUCUGCAACUCGACUCCAUGAAGUCGGAAUCGCUAGUAAUCGUAGAUCAGAAUGCUACGGUGAAUACGUUCCCGGGCCUUGUACACACCGCCCGUCACACCAUGGGAGUGGGAUGCAAAAGAAGUGGCUAGUUUAACCUUUCAGGGAGGACGGUCACCACUUUGUGUUUCAUGACUGGGGUGAAGUCGGAACAAGGUAACC
rnacentral:rRNA from 1 species